rnacentral:rRNA from 1 species
GAGUUUGAUCCUGGCUCAGGAUGAACGCUGGCGGCGUGCUUAACACAUGCAAGUCGAGCGAAGCAUUAAAACCGAUUUCUUCGGAAAGAAGUUUUAAUGACUGAGCGGCGGACGGGUGAGUAACGCGUGGGUGACCUGCCUCAUACAGGGGGAUAACAGACAGAAAUGUCUGCUAAUACCGCAUAAGCGCACAGUGCUGCAUGGCACAGUGUGAAAAACUCCGGUGGUAUGAGAUGGACCCGCGUCUGAUUAGCUAGUUGGUAAGGUAACGGCUUACCAAGGCGACGAUCAGUAGCCGGCCUGAGAGGGUGAACGGCCACAUUGGGACUGAGACACGGCCCAAACUCCUACGGGAGGCAGCAGUGGGGAAUAUUGCACAAUGGGGGAAACCCUGAUGCAGCGACGCCGCGUGAAGGAAGAAGUAUUUCGGUAUGUAAACUUCUAUCAGCAGGGAAGAAAAUGACGGUACCUGACUAAGAAGCCCCGGCUAACUACGUGCCAGCAGCCGC